CCUCUGUUCAGCAUCAGUGUCGACUAAAAUUAAUCGAAUUGGCAUUGUUUUGACGUGGUGUUCUCAUAGUUCUGAACCUCAUUUGCUGGGUGAUUUCUCUGGGCGAUUCCAAGAACCCCCUUUCCAGAAUUGAUUGUUUGGUCUCUGAUCGAUUUACCCCUUCCCAUAUUUGGUCGUUUGGUUAUUAAUUUCUGUCGGCAAUCUCAAGAACUCUUCUGCAGAUUUGAUUGUUAGGUUUCUCAUCGAUUUACCCCUUUCAUGACUUGAUUGUUUGGUCUCUUAUCGAUUUCUCUAGACGGAUGGAAGAAAUCAUUUUUGGAUCCUAUCGGUCCAAAACAUGAUUCACAGUUGGAGAGUAUAGAAGGAUGAGGCUCACAUGGACAGAAACAUUUCGUUAACUGGUAAUUUGAGACCAGAUCCUCCUUUGGCAUGAUGUUUAACCUUAGCGGUUAUUGGAAAUCUAUUUAUUUCACUUUUGUUUAUUUUCUACGGUUGCAGAGAAAACCUUGAAAGGCACAAAAAAUAGUCCUUUUAGUGUCCUGUUCGAGCUAUAAAGGGACAAUCAAAAUGAAAUUAGCGGUUAAUAUUCAGCACUAAAAUACGACUAAAUAAAGUUCAGAAAUAUGUAAAACACCAUAUAAAAUCAAAUAUUGAAGAUAUUUAAUUUAA